CAGUCGCCGCGGGAAUACGAAGGGUGCAGGCGUUAAUCGGAAUUACUGGGCGUAAAGCGUGCGUAGGCGGUGAGUUAAGUCUGCUGUGAAAUCCCCGGGCUCAACCUGGGAAUGGCAGUGGAUACUGGCUCGCUAGAGUGUGUCAGAGGAUGGUGGAAUUCCCGGUGUAGCGGUGAAAUGCGUAGAGAUCGGGAGGAACAUCAGUGGCGAAGGCGGCCAUCUGGGACAACACUGACGCUGAGGCACGAAAGCGUGGGGAGCAAACAGGAUUAGAUACCCGUGUAGUCCCUGUCUCUUAUAC
rnacentral:rRNA from 1 species